rnacentral:rRNA from 1 species
UACAUGUGGGGCAAGCGUUGUUCGGAAUUACUGGGCGUAAAGGGUGCGGAGGCGGCGGAGUAAGUUGGGUGUGAAAUCCCGGGGCUCAACCUCGGAAUUGCAUUCAAUACUGCUUCGCUUGAGUACUGGAGAGGAGGCUGGAAUUUACGGUGUAGCAGUGAAAUGCGUAGAUAUCGUAAGGAAGGCCGGUGGCGAAAGCGAGCCUCUGGACAGUUACUGACGCUGAGGAGCGAAAGCGUGGGGAGCGAACAGG